GCCGAAGUGGCUCAGUGGUAGAGCACGUUCUUGGUAAGAACGGGGUCACGGGUCCGAUUCCCGUCUUCGGCUCCA
rnacentral:tRNA from 4 species